rnacentral:rRNA from 1 species
AGUGGCGGACGGGUGAGUAACGCGUGAGAAUCUACCUUCAGGACGGGGACAACAGCUGGAAACGGCUGCUAAUACCCGAUAUGCCGAAAGGUGAAAAGUUUUUUCGCCUGGAGAGGAGCUCGCGUCCGAUUAGCUAGUUGGUGAGGUAAAAGCUUACCAAGGCGACGAUCGGUAGCUGGUCUGAGAGGAUGAGCAGCCACACUGGAACUGAGACACGGUCCAGACUCCUACGGGAGGCAGCAGUGGGGAAUUUUCCGCAAUGGGCGAAAGCCUGACGGAGCAACGCCGCGUGGGGGAAGAAGGUUUUUGGAUUGUAAACCCCUUUUCUCAAGGAAGAACAAAAUGACGGUACUUGAGGAAUCAGCCUCGGCUAACUCCGUGCCAGCAGCCGCGGUAAUACGGAGGAGGCAAGCGUUAUCCGGAAUUAUUGGGCGUAAAGCGUUCGUAGGCGGCUGUUCAAGUCUGCUGUCAAAGACCGAGGCUCAACCUCGGGUAGGCAGUGGAAACUGGAUAGCUAGAGGUCGGUAGGGGCAGAGGGAAUUCCCAGUGUAGCGGUGAAAUGCGUAGAUAUUGGGAAGAACACCGGUGGCGAAAGCGCUCUGCUGUGCCGAACCUGACGCUGAGGGACGAAAGCUAGGGGAGCGAAUGGGAUUAGAUACCCC